rnacentral:rRNA from 1 species
UGGGGAAUCUUAGACAAUGGGGGAAACCCUGAUCUAGCCAUGCCGCGUGAGCGAUGAAGGCCUUAGGGUUGUAAAGCUCUUUCAGCUGGGAAGAUAAUGACGGUACCAGCAGAAGAAGCCCCGGCUAACUCCGUGCCAGCAGCCGCGGUAAUACGGAGGGGGCUAGCGUUGUUCGGAAUUACUGGGCGUAAAGCGCACGUAGGCGGAUUAGUCAGUCAGAGGUGAAAUUCCCAGGGCUCAACCCUGGAACUGCCUUUGAUACUGCUAGUCUUGAGGUCGAGAGAGGUGAGUGGAAAUUUCCCGAGUGUAGAGGUGAAAUUCGUAGAUAUUCGGAGGAACACCAGUGGCGAAGGCGGCUCACUGGCUCGAUACUGACGCUGAGGUGCGAAAGCGUGGGG